rnacentral:misc_RNA from 1 species
GAUGAAGAACGCAGCGAGAUGCGAUAAGUAAUGUGAAUUGCAGAAUUCAGUGAAUCAUCGAAUCUUUGAACGCACAUUGCGCCCGUCAGUAUUCUGGCGGGCAUGCCUGUUCGAGCGUCAUUACGCCCCUCAAGUCCCCUGUGGACUUGGUGUUGGGGAUCGGCGAGGCUGGUUUUCCAGCACAGCCGUCCCUUAAAUUAAUUGGCGGUCUCGCCGUGGCCCUCCUCUGCGCAGUAGUAAAACACUCGCAACAGGAGCCCGGCGCGGUCCACUGCCGUAAAACCCCCCAACUUUUUAUAGUUGACCUCGAAUCAGGUAGGACUACCCGCUGAACUUAAGCAUAUCAAUAAGCGGAGGA